AACCCCCUAAGCUGGAGUCAGAGCCCAAGGUGCAAUUGGAGAGACUUUGUCACCUAAGGUCAUAAAUCUCCGAUGUGCCUCUGGCCCGAAUAAUGUAGAAAUUCAAACUGCCUUAGACUGGAUCCUGUGCAGACUGGAUUCCAUAAGGCUUCAAUUUAUCACUCAAGCAGCAUCAGGUUCAGCCAAAACCUUCCCUUAGAUGCACGUCUGGAGAAUCAAUACGCAACAGGUGUUCCUGAAAGAAUUCAGUGUCAGGAAGCAAAAGCUGGUGUGACCACCCACCCACCUUCAGCCUGAAUGGUGUCUCCACCCUUGAUGAUGUAAUGCAGCAAAGACUCACUGCCCCUUUGCAUUGGAAGGAACCGAGACAAGAAUUUGAUCCCAAUGCCUAAAGAGCAAUGACUCUCCUCUUUGACACCCUGGAGGGAGGGCCAUCUGCCAGCGAUGGGGAAUGUACCAGGCAGCCAGCCCAUCCCGACUUUUAACAGGAUUCGUUGUUAGAAUCUGCUGUAUAAUACGAAGCCACAGCUAGUCCUGGCCUUCAGGAGCUACAAGGACCCCGAUUCUCCCUCCUCACAGCAUCAGGAUUUGACGAUACCUGUGUGGUACCCUUCUGAGGCUCGGAGACUUCUGUCCCCCAGCUGAACACACCCCUCCCAAAGCGUUCCUAGUGGUGCCCUUACGAAUAUUGUUGUCCACAAAUCUUUGCAUACCUGUCUCCGGAUACAUUUCUAUAAACAAGCUGUUGGGACAAACGGUACAUUCCGUCGCUUUUGCUCUCUAUUUCCAGAUCAGUUUCCAGCAAGGGUGCUUUUGUCUACACACCCACAAGUGGUUUACGAGAGAGAACCUAUCUCCCCACACCCUAGCCACCAAAUUGGGAAUUUUUAAUUCUUUU